rnacentral:misc_RNA from 1 species
GACGAACCGUGCAAACGUUGUUCGGAAUCACUGGGCUUAAAGGGCGCGUAGGCGGGCUUUCAAGUCGAGGGUGAAAUCUUGCGGCUCAACCGUAAGAGGGCCCUCGAUACUGGGAGCCUCGAGGGAGGUAGGGGUCGAUGGAACUUCCGGUGGAGCGGUGAAAUGCGUAGAUAUCGGAAGGAACGCCGGUGGCGAAAGCGAUCGACUGGAUCUCUUCUGACGCUGAGGCGCGAAAGCCAGGGGAGCGAACGGG